AGAGUUUGAUCCUGGCUCAGGAUGAACGCUAGCGGCAGGCUUAACACAUGCAAGUCGAGGGGCAGCAUGUCCAGCAAUGGAUGAUGGCGACCGGCGGAAGGGUGCGUAACGCGUGAGCAACAUGCCCUAUACAGGGAGAUACACCAGGGAAACUUGGUCUAAUAUCCCAUAGCAUUCAUUGAAGGCAUCUUUAAUGAAUUAAAGCUUCGGUGGUAUAGGAUUGGCUCGCGUGACAUUAGCCAGAUGGUGAGGUAACGGCUCACCAUAGCAAUGAUGUCUAGGGGUUUUGAGAGGAAGGCCCCCCACACUGGGACUGAGACACGGCCCAGACUCCUACGGGAGGCAGCAGUGAGGAAUAUUGGACAAUGGAUGGAAAUCUGAUCCAGCCAUGCCGCGUGCAGGAAGACGGCCUUAUGGGUUGUAAACUGCUUUUAUACGGGAGCAAUAAGGGUUACGAGUAAUCCGAUGAGAGUACUGUAUGAAUAAGGAUCGGCUAACUCCGUGCCAGCAGCCGCGGUAAUACGGAGGAUCCGAGCGUUAUCCGGAAUUAUUGGGUUUAAAGGGUGCGUAGGCGGCCAUUUAAGUCAGCGGUGAAAUUUUGCAGCUUAACUGUAACAGUGCCGUUGAUACUGUUUGGCUAGGAUUUGGUUGUAGUGUGCGGAAUGUGUGGUGUAGCGGUGAAAUGCUUAGAUAUCACACAGAACACCGAUUGCGAAGGCAGCACACUAAGUCAUUAUUGACGCUGAGGCACGAAAGUGUGGGGAUCAAACAGGAUUAGAUACCCUGGUAGUCCACACUGUAAACGAUGAUUACUGGUUGUUUGCGAUACACUGCAAGUGACUGAGCGAAAGCAUUAAGUAAUCCACCUGGGGAGUACGUCGGCAACGAUGAAACUCAAAGGAAUUGACGGGGGCCCGCACAAGCGGAGGAGCAUGUGGUUUAAUUCGAUGAUACGCGAGAAACCUUACCAGGGCUUGACAUGCGCCGGCAUCGCGUCGAAAGGCGCGCGCCCCUCGGGGCCGGCGCACAGGUGCUGCAUGGCUGUCGUCAGCUCGUGCUGUGAAGUGUUGGGUUAAGUCCCGCAACGAGCGCAACCCCUGCCGUCUGUUGCCACCACCUUGGGUGGGCACUCAGGCGGGACCGCCGGUGACAAACCGGAGGAAGGUGGGGACGACGUCAAGUCAUCAUGGUCCUUAUGUCCAGGGCUACACACGUGCUACAAUGGUUGGUACAAAGAGCAGCGAGACAGUAAUGUUAAGCGAAUCUCAUAAAGCCAAUCUCAGUUCGGAUUGAGGUCUGCAACUCGACCUCAUGAAGUCGGAAUCGCUAGUAAUCGUGCGUCAGAACAGCACGGUGAAUACGUUCCCGGGUCUUGUACUCACCGCCCGUCAAG
rnacentral:rRNA from 1 species